GGCGUUGGAUCAUUAUGUUCAAUGGGUUUAGAAAUCCCUGCAUAAUGAUUCUGGAUAAUGAAAAGCUUUUGAAUUAAACAAGCAAAUCAUUUAUGCAGAUGAAAAAUGUUAUUUUAUUGUUUUUCAGGUUUUUUGUGAUCACUGAUUUCAUGCAGAAAGCAAAAAGUGAAAACAAAUGGAAAAACAAAUGUUUAACAAUGCAUUAAUUGAAUGAAAACAUCAUUGUAUAUAUGCUGCCAACAAUGUUAUCACUUCUCCUUUUGGCAUGGGAGAAGGGUUUUAAACAAAAUGAACAAAUCACGCUGAUUUAUGAAUGACCGUGGGAACAUCCACAGCGACCCAAUUG
rnacentral:lncRNA from 1 species